rnacentral:rRNA from 1 species
AUUGAACGCUGGCGGCAUGCCUUACACAUGCAAGUCGAACGGCAGCACGGGGCAACCUGGUGGCGAGUGGCGAACGGGUGAGUAAUGCAUCGGAACGUACCUUUCAGUGGGGGAUAACGUAGCGAAAGUUACGCUAAUACCGCAUAUUCUGUGAGCAGGAAAGCAGGGGAUCGCAAGACCUUGCGCUGAUUGAGCGGCCGAUGUCAGAUUAGCUAGUUGGUGAGGUAGAGGCUCACCAAGGCGACGAUCUGUAGCGGGUCUGAGAGGAUGAUCCGCCACACUGGACCGGAGACACGGUCCAGACUCCUACGGGAGGCAGCAGUGGGGAAUUUUGGACAAUGGGGGCAACCCUGAUCCAGCCAUGCCGCGUGAGUGAAGAAGGCCUUCGGGUUGUAAAGCUCUUUCGGCCGGGAAGAAGUCGCACGGGCUAAUACCCUGUGUGGAUGACGGUACCGGAAUAAGAAGCACCGGCUAACUACGUGCCAGCCGCCGCUGUAAGAC